CAGCUCUGACGGCCCGCGGAAGGCUCUUGUUUAGGCUUUCUUAUCUGAGUUAAGUCCACACAUUGGGCUGAUGAUUUUGUGCGCUCGGUUGCAAGAAACAUUUUUCGUCACACAAUGGGAAAAAUACUGAGCGAGAAGUUAGGAGACGGUGAUAUUCAAGGUUCUGUUACAGGAAGGUGAUCUGUAUGCAGGUUGCACUUAAAGAAUGAAGGAUUCACUUGACGCCCUCUUCUGACUUCGUGUGCCAGGGUCACACAGCACCUCUCAUACUUGAAAGAAAGCCUAUUGCCAGAGACACCACAUGCUUUGGACAUAAGACUUAGAGAAAUGGAGCUGCAACUGACCUGGAAGCCUCUUCCCUAAGGACGGGUUCUUAACAUAUUGGAAGGUGCAAUGAGAUCUGUCAAGGGACAAACGCAAUCAACAGUCCUACCCAGAGAUAAAUCUAGCUACUACCUUUCAUCAGAAAAGCCCGUCUUUACCGUAAAUGGAGACCAUCACAGAAAACCACAACUGGAUACAAUGCAGAGAUCAAUGGAUUGUGGCAAGCUCAGUCCCAAUGGAUACAUCUACAUCACAGCUCUUGCAUGUAUGGCUCAGAGAAGAUAGAGGAAGACGGGGCAGAAAUAUUUAAGAGCCAGUGUGGUGAUAUUUUGUUUGUGAUCUAAUCAAUAAAGCUUACCUGAAGAUCA